rnacentral:rRNA from 1 species
UACGUAGGGACCAAGCGUUGUCCGGAAUCAUUGGGCGUAAAGAGCGUGUAGGCGGCUUGUUAAGUCUUGCGUGAAAUCUCGGGGCUCAACCCCGAGCGGUCGUGAGAAACUGGCAGGCUAGAGUGCGGGAGAGGAGAGUGGAAUUCCUGGUGUAGCGGUGAAAUGCGCAGAUACCAGGAAGAACACCCGUGGCGAAGGCGGCUAUCUGGACGGUUUCUGACGCUAAGACGCGAAAGCGUGGGGAGCAAACAGG